ACGAACGCUGGCGGCGUGCUUAACACAUGCAAGUCGAACGGAGAUUAUUAAUGAAGCUUGCGAUUUAAUAAUCUUAGUGGCGGACGGGUGAGUAACGCGUGGGCAACCUACCCAUAAGCGGGGGAUAACAGUCGGAAACGACUGCUAAUACCGCAUAAGCUAUUAAGGUCGCAUGACCUAAAUAGUAAAGGUGGCAUUUUAACAGUGCUAUCACUUAUGGAUGGGCCCGCGUCUGAUUAGCUAGUUGGUGGGGUAGCAGCCUACCAAGGCAACGAUCAGUAGCCGGCCUGAGAGGGUGGACGGCCACACUGGGACUGAGACACGGCCCAGACUCCUACGGGAGGCAGCAGUGGGGAAUAUUGCGCAAUGGGGGAAACCCUGACGCAGCGACGCCGCGUGAGCGAAGAAGGCCUUAGGGUCGUAAAGCUCUGUUGUAAGGGACGAAUGUUUGUCUGGCGAACAGUCAGAUAAAGUGACGGUACCUUACCAGCAAGCCCCGGCUAACUACGUG
rnacentral:rRNA from 1 species